GGGUUGUGAGGUUAAGCGACUAAGCGUACACGGUGGAUGCCCUGGCAGUCAGAGGCGAUGAAGGACGUGCUAAUCUGCGAUAAGCGUCGGUGAGGUGAUAUGAACCGUUAUAACCGGCGAUUUCCGAAUGGGGAAACCCAGUGUGUUUCGACACACUAUCAUUAACUGAAUCCAUAGGUUAAUGAGGCGAACCGGGGGAACUGAAACAUCUAAGUACCCCGAGGAAAAGAAAUCAACCGAGAUUCCCCCAGUAGCGGCGAGCGAACGGGGAGGAGCCCAGAGCCUGAAUCAGUGUGUGUGUUAGUGGAAGCGUCUGGAAAGGCGCGCGAUACAGGGUGACAGCCCCGUACACAAAAAUGCACAUAUUGUGAGCUCGAUGAGUAGGGCGGGACACGUGGUAUCCUGUCUGAAUAUGGGGGGACCAUCCUCCAAGGCUAAAUACUCCUGACUGACCGAUAGUGAACCAGUACCGUGAGGGAAAGGCGAAAAGAACCCCGGCGAGGGGAGUGAAAAAGAACCUGAAACCGUGUACGUACAAGCAGUGGGAGCCUCUUAAUGGGGUGACUGCGUACCUUUUGUAUAAUGGGUCAGCGACUUAUAUUCUGUAGCAAGGUUAACCGAAUAGGGGAGCCGAAGGGAAACCGAGUCUUAACUGGGCGUUAAGUUGCAGGGUAUAGACCCGAAACCCGGUGAUCUAGCCAUGGGCAGGUUGAAGGUUGGGUAACACUAACUGGAGGACCGAACCGACUAAUGUUGAAAAAUUAGCGGAUGACUUGUGGCUGGGGGUGAAAGGCCAAUCAAACCGGGAGAUAGCUGGUUCUCCCCGAAAGCUAUUUAGGUAGCGCCUCGUGAAUUCAUCUCCGGGGGUAGAGCACUGUUUCGGCAAGGGGGUCAUCCCGACUUACCAACCCGAUGCAAACUGCGAAUACCGGAGAAUGUUAUCACGGGAGACACACGGCGGGUGCUAACGUCCGUCGUGAAGAGGGAAACAACCCAGACCGCCAGCUAAGGUCCCAAAGUCAUGGUUAAGUGGGAAACGAUGUGGGAAGGCCCAGACAGCCAGGAUGUUGGCUUAGAAGCAGCCAUCAUUUAAAGAAAGCGUAAUAGCUCACUGGUCGAGUCGGCCUGCGCGGAAGAUGUAACGGGGCUAAACCAUGCACCGAAGCUGCGGCAGCGACGCUUAUGCGUUGUUGGGUAGGGGAGCGUUCUGUAAGCCUGUGAAGGUGGCCUGUGAGGGUUGCUGGAGGUAUCAGAAGUGCGAAUGCUGACAUAAGUAACGAUAAAGCGGGUGAAAAGCCCGCUCGCCGGAAGACCAAGGGUUCCUGUCCAACGUUAAUCGGGGCAGGGUGAGUCGACUCCUAAGGCGAGGCCGAAAGGCGUAGUCGAUGGGAAACAGGUUAAUAUUCCUGUACUUGGUGUUACUGCGAAGGGGGGACGGAGAAGGCUAUGUUGGCCGGGCGACGGUUGUCCCGGUUUAAGCGUGUAGGCUGGUUUUCCAGGCAAAUCCGGAAAACCAAGGCUGAGGCGUGAUGACGAGGCACUACGGUGCUGAAGUGACAAAUGCCCUGCUUCCAGGAAAAGCCUCUAAGCAUCAGGUAACAUCAAAUCGUACCCCAAACCGACACAGGUGGUCAGGUAGAGAAUACCAAGGCGCUUGAGAGAACUCGGGUGAAGGAACUAGGCAAAAUGGUGCCGUAACUUCGGGAGAAGGCACGCUGAUAUGUAGGUGAAGCGACUUGCUCGUGGAGCUGAAAUCAGUCGAAGAUACCAGCUGGCUGCAACUGUUUAUUAAAAACACAGCACUGUGCAAACACGAAAGUGGACGUAUACGGUGUGACGCCUGCCCGGUGCCGGAAGGUUAAUUGAUGGGGUUAGCGGUAACGCGAAGCUCUUGAUCGAAGCCCCGGUAAACGGCGGCCGUAACUAUAACGGUCCUAAGGUAGCGAAAUUCCUUGUCGGGUAAGUUCCGACCUGCACGAAUGGCGUAAUGAUGGCCAGGCUGUCUCCACCCGAGACUCAGUGAAAUUGAACUCGCUGUGAAGAUGCAGUGUACCCGCGGCAAGACGGAAAGACCCCGUGAACCUUUACUAUAGCUUGACACUGAACAUUGAGCCUUGAUGUGUAGGAUAGGUGGGAGGCUUUGAAGUGUGGACGCCAGUCUGCAUGGAGCCGACCUUGAAAUACCACCCUUUAAUGUUUGAUGUUCUAACGUUGGCCCGUAAUCCGGGUUGCGGACAGUGUCUGGUGGGUAGUUUGACUGGGGCGGUCUCCUCCUAAAGAGUAACGGAGGAGCACGAAGGUUGGCUAAUCCUGGUCGGACAUCAGGAGGUUAGUGCAAUGGCAUAAGCCAGCUUGACUGCGAGCGUGACGGCGCGAGCAGGUGCGAAAGCAGGUCAUAGUGAUCCGGUGGUUCUGAAUGGAAGGGCCAUCGCUCAACGGAUAAAAGGUACUCCGGGGAUAACAGGCUGAUACCGCCCAAGAGUUCAUAUCGACGGCGGUGUUUGGCACCUCGAUGUCGGCUCAUCACAUCCUGGGGCUGAAGUAGGUCCCAAGGGUAUGGCUGUUCGCCAUUUAAAGUGGUACGCGAGCUGGGUUUAGAACGUCGUGAGACAGUUCGGUCCCUAUCUGCCGUGGGCGCUGGAGAACUGAGGGGGGCUGCUCCUAGUACGAGAGGACCGGAGUGGACGCAUCACUGGUGUUCGGGUUGUCAUGCCAAUGGCACUGCCCGGUAGCUAAAUGCGGAAGAGAUAAGUGCUGAAAGCAUCUAAGCACGAAACUUGCCCCGAGAUGAGUUCUCCCUGAGACUUUAAGUCUCCUGAAGGAACGUUGAAGACGACGACGUUGAUAGGCCGGGUGUGUAAGCGCAGCGAUGCGUUGAGCUAACCGGUACUAAUGAACCGUGAGGCUUAACCUUACAACGCCGAAG
rnacentral:rRNA from 1 species